UACGAAGGGGGCUAGCGUUACUCGGAUUGACUGGGCGUAAAGGGCGCGUAGGCGGUUUGUACAGUCAGACGUGAAAUUCCUGGGCUCAACCUGGGGGCUGCGUUUGAUACGUGCAGACUUGAGUUCGGAAGGGGGUCGUGGAAUUCCCAGUGUAGAGGUGAAAUUCGUAGAUAUUGGGAAGAACACCGGUGGCGAAGGCGGCGACCUGGUCCGAUACUGACGCUGAGGCGCGAAAGCGUGGGGAGCAAACAGG
rnacentral:rRNA from 1 species